CCAGUAUUAUUGUGCUGCUUAA
rnacentral:miRNA from 1 species